UACGUAGGUGGCAAGCGUUGUCCGGAUUUACUGGGCGUAAAGAGCGCGCAGGCGGUCGUUCAAGUCGCGUGUGAAAGCCCCCGGCUCAACUGGGGAGGGUCACGCGAUACUGAUCGACUCGAAGGCAGGAGAGGGUAGUGGAAUUCCCGGUGUAGUGGUGAAAUGCGUAGAUAUCGGGAGGAACACCAGUGGCGAAGGCGGCCUGCUGGGCUGUUGCUGACGCUGAGGCGCGACAGCGUGGGGAGCAAACAGG
rnacentral:rRNA from 1 species